GACGAACGCUGGCGGCGUGCUUAACACAUGCAAGUCGAACGGAAAGGCCCUGCUUUUGUGGGGUGCUCGAGUGGCGAACGGGUGAGUAACACGUGAGUAACCUGCCCUUGACUUUGGGAUAACUUCAGGAAACUGGGGCUAAUACCGGAUAGGAGCUCCUGCUGCAUGGUGGGGGUUGGAAAGUUUCGGCGGUUGGGGAUGGACUCGCGGCUUAUCAGCUUGUUGGUGGGGUAGUGGCUUACCAAGGCUUUGACGGGUAGCCGGCCUGAGAGGGUGACCGGCCACAGUGGGACUGAGAUACGGCCCAGAGUGAGACGGGAGGCAGCAGUGGGGAAUAUUGCACAAUGGGCGGAAGCCUGAUGCAGCAACGCCGCGUGCGGGAUGACGGCCUUCGGGUUGUAAACCGCUUUCGCCUGUGACGAAGCGUGAGUGAAGGUAAUGGGUAAAGAAGCACCGGCUAACUACGUG
rnacentral:rRNA from 1 species